UACCAGCACCCCGAGUGGUCGGGACGAUUAUUGGGCCUAAAGCAUCCGUAGCCGGUCUUACAAGUCCUCCGUUAAAUCCAGCUGCUUAACAGAUGGGCUGCGGAGGAUACUAUAAAACUAGGAGGCGGGAGAGGCAAGCGGUACUCGAUGGGUAGGGGUAAAAUCCGUUGAUCCAUUGAAGACCACCAGUGGCGAAGGCGGCUUGCCAGAACGCGCUCGACGGUGAGGGAUGAAAGCUGGGGGAAGCAAACCGGG
rnacentral:rRNA from 1 species